UGGCGAAGGGGCUCUCUGGCCACCACUGACGCUGAGGUGCGAAAGCUAGGGGAGAGAACGGGAUUAGAAACCCCGGUAUUCCUAGCCGUAAACGAUGUCAACUAAGUGUAGGUGGAUUGACCCCAUCUGUGCUGUAGCAAACGCGUUAAGUUGACCGCCUGGGGAGUACGGCCGCAAGGCUAAAACUCAAAGGAAUUGACGGGGACCGGCACAAGCAGCGGAGCGUGUGGUUUAAUUCGAGGCUACGCGAAGAACCUUACCAGGGCUUGACAUACAGCUGGAGUGAAGCGAAAGUGGAACGCCCUUCGGGGAGGCUGAACAGGUGCUGCAUGGCUGUCGUCAGCUCGUGCCGUGAGGUGUUAGGUUAAGUCCUGUAACGAGCGCAACCCUCGUCGUUAGUUACAAGUGUCUAACGAGACUGCCGGUGAUAAGCCGGAGGAAGGUGGGGAUGACGUCAAGUCAGCAUGGCCUUUAUGUCCUGGGCUACACACACGCUACAAUGGCCGGUACAAUGGGCAGCCAAGCCGCGAGGCGGAGCCAAUCCCGAAAGCCGGUCUCAGUUCGGAUUGUAGGCUGCAACUUGCCUGCAUGAAGUCGGAGUUGCUAGUAAACGCGCGUCAGCAACAGUGCGUUGAUACGUUCCCGGGUCUUGCACACACCGCCCGUCA
rnacentral:rRNA from 1 species